rnacentral:snoRNA from 1 species
AGGACCUUUCAAAGAGGGCUUUAGGGCUAUGAAACCAGGAGCUCUUAACACUGUGACCAUAUAUUUCAUUCUUUGGUAGCAAUGCUGGAGAUCAAACU